rnacentral:rRNA from 1 species
AUUGAACGCUGGCGGCAGGCCUAACACAUGCAAGUCGAGCGAGUGGCGGACGGGUGAGUAAUGUCUGGGAAACUGCCUGAUGGAGGGGGAUAACUACUGGAAACGGUAGCUAAUACCGCAUACCAUCUUAUGUGCCCAGAUGGGUUUGGCUAGUGGUUGGGGUAAUGGCUCACCUAGGCGACGAUGCCUAGCGGGUCUGAGAGGAUGACCAGCCACACUGGAACUGAGACACGGUCCAGACUCCUACGGGAGGCAGCAGUGGGGAAUAUUGCACAAUGGGCGCAAGCCUGAUGCAGCCAUGCCGCGUGUGUGAAGAAGGCCUUCGGGUUGUAAAGCACUUUCAGCGGGGAGGCGUUACCCGCAGAAGAAGCACCGGCUAACUCCGUGCCAGCCGCCGCGGUAAUAC